AGCACGGGAGCAAUCCUGGUGGCGAGUGGCGAACGGGUGAGUAAUGUAUCGGAACGUACCUUUCAGUGGGGGAUAACGUAGCGAAAGUUACGCUAAUACCGCAUAUUCUGUGAGCAGGAAAGCAGGGGAUCGCAAGACCUUGCGCUGAUUGAGCGGCCGAUAUCUGAUUAGCUAGUUGGUGAGGUAAAGGCUCACCAAGGCGACGAUCUGUAGCGGGUCUGAGAGGAUGAUCCGCCACACUGGAACUGAGACACGGUCCAGACUCCUACGGGAGGCAGCAGUGGGGAAUUUUGGACAAUGGGGGCAACCCUGAUCCAGCCAUGCCGCGUGAGUGAAGAAGGCCUUCGGGUUGCAAAGCUCUUUCAGCCGGGAAGAAAUCGCAUGGGUUAAUACCCUGUGUGGAUGACGGUACCGGAAUAAGAAGCACCGGCUAACUACGUGCCAGCAGCCGCGGUAAUACGUAGGGUGCGAGCGUUAAUCGGAAUUACUGGGCGUAAAGCGUGCGCAGGCGGUUUGUUAAGAUAGGCGUGAAAUCCCCGGGCUCAACCUGGGAACUGCGUUUAUGACUGGCAGGCUAGAGUAUGGCAGAGGGGGGGUGGAAUUCCACGUGUAGCAGUGAAAUGC
rnacentral:rRNA from 1 species